rnacentral:rRNA from 1 species
UACGUAGGGGGCAAGCGUUGUCCGGAAUUAUUGGGCGUAAAGAGCGUGUAGGCGGCCCGAUAAGUCCGCUGUGAAAGUCCAGGGCUCAACCCUGGAAUGCCGGUGGAUACUGUCGGGCUCGAAUCCGGAAGAGGUGAGUGGAAUUCCUGGUGUAGCGGUGAAAUGCGCAGAUAUCAGGAGGAACACCGGUGGCGAAGGCGGCUCUCUGGACCACAACUGACGCUGAGGCGCGAAAGCUAGGGGAGCAAACAGG